UUUAUGGAGAGUUUGAUCCUGGCUCAGGAUGAACGCUGGCGGCGUGCCUAAUACAUGCAAGUCGAGCGAACGGACGAGAAGCUUGCUUCUCUGAUGUUAGCGGCGGACGGGUGAGUAACACGUGGAUAACCUACCUAUAAGACUGGGAUAACUUCGGGAAACCGGAGCUAAUACCGGAUAAUAUUUUGAACCGCAUGGUUCAAAAGUGAAAGACGGUCUUGCUGUCACUUAUAGAUGGAUCCGCGCUGCAUUAGCUAGUUGGUAAGGUAACGGCUUACCAAGGCAACGAUGCAUAGCCGACCUGAGAGGGUGAUCGGCCACACUGGAACUGAGACACGGUCCAGACUCCUACGGGAGGCAGCAGUAGGGAAUCUUCCGCAAUGGGCGAAAGCCUGACGGAGCAACGCCGCGUGAGUGAUGAAGGUCUUCGGAUCGUAAAACUCUGUUAUUAGGGAAGAACAUAUGUGUAAGUAACUGUGCACAUCUUGACGGUACCUAAUCAGAAAGCCACGGCUAACUACGUGCCAGCAGCCGCGGUAAUACGUAGGUGGCAAGCGUUAUCCGGAAUUAUUGGGCGUAAAGCGCGCGUAGGCGGUUUUUUAAGUCUGAUGUGAAAGCCCACGGCUCAACCGUGGAGGGUCAUUGGAAACUGGAAAACUUGAGUGCAGAAGAGGAAAGUGGAAUUCCAUGUGUAGCGGUGAAAUGCGCAGAGAUAUGGAGGAACACCAGUGGCGAAGGCGACUUUCUGGUCUGUAACUGACGCUGAUGUGCGAAAGCGUGGGGAUCAAACAGGAUUAGAUACCCUGGUAGUCCACGCCGUAAACGAUGAGUGCUAAGUGUUAGGGGGUUUCCGCCCCUUAGUGCUGCAGCUAACGCAUUAAGCACUCCGCCUGGGGAGUACGACCGCAAGGUUGAAACUCAAAGGAAUUGACGGGGACCCGCACAAGCGGUGGAGCAUGUGGUUUAAUUCGAAGCAACGCGAAGAACCUUACCAAAUCUUGACAUCCUUUGACAACUCUAGAGAUAGAGCCUUCCCCUUCGGGGGACAAAGUGACAGGUGGUGCAUGGUUGUCGUCAG
rnacentral:rRNA from 1 species